rnacentral:rRNA from 1 species
CACGAACGCUGGCGGCAGGCUUAACACAUGCAAGUCGAGCGCCCCGCAAGGGGAGCGGCAGACGGGUGAGUAACGCGUGGGAAUCUACCCAUCUCUACGGAAUAACGCAUGGAAACGUGUGCUAAUACCGUAUACGUCCUUCGGGCGAAAGAUUUAUCGGAGAUGGAUGAGCCCGCGUUGGAUUAGCUAGUUGGUGGGGUAAAGGCCUACCAAGGCGACGAUCCAUAGCUGGGCUGAGAGGAUGAUCAGCCACACUGGGACUGAGACACGGCCCAGACUCCUACGGGAGGCAGCAGUGGGGAAUAUUGGACAAUGGGCGCAAGCCUGAUCCUGCCAUGCCGCGUGAGUGAUGAAGGCCCUAGGGUUGUAAAGCUCUUUCACCGGUGAAGAUAAUGACGGUAACCGGAGAAGAAGCCCCGGCUAACUUCGUGCCAGCCGCCGCAGUAAAAC